AGAUUCUGAUAUGGACAUUUCCUUAAAAAGUCUUUAAAUCUCUCCCACGCCUCAAAUAAUGAUUCAGUGUCCAACUGUGCAUAAGUUGUUAUCUCCUGAUGCAACUU